AGAGUUUGAUCCUGGCUCAGGACGAACGCUGGCGGCGUGCUUAACACAUGCAAGUCGAACGGAAAGGCCCUUCGGGGUACUCGAGUGGCGAACGGGUGAGUAACACGUGGGUGAUCUGCCCUGCACUUUGGGAUAAGCCUGGGAAACUGGGUCUAAUACCGAAUAUGACCAUGCACUUCCUGGUGUGUGGUGGAAAGCUUUUGCGGUGUGGGAUGGGCCCGCGGCCUAUCAGCUUGUUGGUGGGGUAAUGGCCUACCAAGGCGACGACGGGUAGCCGGCCUGAGAAGGUGACCGGCCACACUGGGACUGAGAUACGGCCCAGACUCCUACGGGAGGCAGCAGUGGGGAAUAUUGCACAAUGGGCGCAAGCCUGAUGCAGCGACGCCGCGUGAGGGAUGACGGCCUUCGGGUUGUAAACCUCUUUCAGCACAGACGAAGCGCAAGUGACGGUAUGUGCAGAAGAAGGACCGGCCAACUACGUGCCAGCAGCCGCGGUAAUACGUAGGGUCCGAGCGUUGUCCGGAAUUACUGGGCGUAAAGAGCUCGUAGGUGGUUUGUCGCGUUGUUCGUGAAAACUCACAGCUUAACUGUGGGCGUGCGGGCGAUACGGGCAGACUUGAGUACUGCAGGGGAGACUGGAAUUCCUGGUGUAGCGGUGGAAUGCGCGGAUAUCAGGAGGAACACCGGUGGCGAAGGCGGGUCUCUGGGCAGUAACUGACGCUGAGGAGCGAAAGCGUGGGGAGCGAACAGGAUUAGAUACCCUGGUAGUCC
rnacentral:rRNA from 1 species